GACAGAGGGUGCAAACGUUGCUCGGAAUUACUGGGCGUAAAGCGCGUGUAGGCGGACCAGCAAGUCGGACGUGAAAUCCCUGAGCUCAACUCAGGAACUGCAUCCGAAACUGCUGGUCUGGAGUGGUGGAGAGGGAAGCAGAAUUCCUGGUGUAGAGGUGAAAUUCGUAGAUAUCAGGAGGAACACCGGUGGCGAAGGCGGCUCCUGGACACUUACUGACGCUGAGACGCGAAAGCGUGGGGAGCAAACAGG
rnacentral:rRNA from 1 species